GGAGGUCAAAACAGCACGAACUCCAGAAGUUGUGGAGAUCCUACAGCACAGGCUCCUCCUGGAAGGGCAAGGUAGGACAGCUCCUGAACACUCGGGUCCAGCCAAACCCACCUCCUCAACGUGCCAGGGACAGGCUGCAUUGCAUUCCUAAGGGUAAGUCUGUUAACUCUACCUUCCCCCACCAGGAAAAUGCCUGUGGCGGUUCAGAAUGAGUCCACAAAUUCUCUGACACUCCCUUCAAAAGGUGGAGCCUAAUUCCCUCCCCUUGGUGUGGGCUGGCCUUGGUGACCAAGUGCUUGCAAGGGACAGAAAACAGUGGCAGUGAGGGUUUUUGGCUCCGGAGACACAGUCACAGAGGUGCCGGUAUCCUGCUUGCCCCCUCUCUUGAUCACUCCGCCCAGGGAAGUGGGGGCCUGUCGCAAGAACACUUCUGCAGCCUGUGCACAUGGAGGCCCAGGGGGCAAGGAACCGAAGCCUCCUACCAAGAGCCAAACAGGAACUGGGGCCUCCUGCCAACAGCCAUGGGAGCGAGCUGCCUGGAGAGCAGCUCCUCCAGCCCCAGGCAAGCCUUCAGAUGAUUGCAGCGCCUACAAAAUCCUGACUGCAGCCACAACCAACUGGGUAAUGAGCCUACUCCACACCCUGACCCACAGAAACUGGGGGAUAAUAAAUGCUUAUUUGCUUUAAGCCACUAA